UACCUGUGGACCUCAAGUGCUCCUUCAUAUGUGUUUUCAAUGAACUUCAUCCAAACCACAUCAAAUGGCUGUGUAUAACACUAAGGAAAUGUCAUAUUGUCUCCUAGUCCUCUACCAUGGUCUGCGCAGAGGCUUUCAAGGAAAAUAAAGGGCUUUUACACACACUGAAGAUCAUGUGAAGAAAGAGAGAAGAUGGUCAUCUAUACACCAAGUUAAACGACCCUCAGAAGAAACCAACCCUAUGGACAACUUGAUCUUGAACUUCUAGCUUUCAGACCUGUGAGAAAAUAAAUUGCUGUUGUUUAAAUUUAAAAAAACAGUCUUUUA
rnacentral:lncRNA from 10 species